rnacentral:lncRNA from 1 species
GCACCUAAAAUGGCUGUGUUUUAGGAAGCAGCUCACUGGCUUUUCAGUAGAUAUUAUGGGGCAGAGUUGCUUUGUAACCAAGAAAAAUUCCCUUCAAUGACUUAUAAAAUGUGAUGGCAUUUUACAAAAAGAAUAUUCUACAUGACGUGAGCUGAAAAAUUCUUGGCUAAGAGUAGUUAAUGUACACAGUGGUUAAGACCUGUGGUGUUAGAGCUGGACAGAUGUGCGUUUAAAUUCUGGAUACUCUACCUGUGGUCCUCUGUCAGGUCUUGUUAGUCCUUUGGAGACUUAGAAAAGCUGAGGAAGAACCACCUAGUUCACCCUAUCCCCCAGGUAAUAGAACCUGACUUUAUUCACAUCUGGGUAAAAGAAGUCAAGCUUGGUAUGGGAGAAGAAGCGGAAUAUAGGCACGUAUUGUAAAUAGACAUCUGACUAUUAGGCCCAGACUCUGACGCUCAGAGUGGGCAAAACCAGGAGCUGUCACGGAAUGGGCUCUGCGUUGGGGCCCAGUUUCAAGAAGGCCUCAGAACAACUUUGGAAGAUGAAUUGAUCCUGUUGCAUGAGCCUGGAAGCCUUGUUAAGUCACUUGACCUCCAGUCAGGUCAGCGUAUGGUUAGCUACCCGGACACAUCUUUCUACCAGACACUCUGGCCUUCAGAUUCCAGAGGAGCCAGUGGGCAGGGGUGUCUGUUUUUCACUGACAUUUGCAGGGUGGGUACACCUCUAGAGAGAAGGUCACAUCUCUUGCCAGGAAAUGCAGAGUCUGAGCAAUCGAGGGAAAGGCAGAGGUUAGCUCAACUUCAUCUGCCAUGUGGACCCCCAUGCUGAGCUGAAGAGUGUUCUGGUUAGAAGCAGAUUGUGGGUGGCCAAUGCCUUGCCUAUGGAACUAUAUCAUGGUUAAUUCUGGAUCAUCAGGAAAUCUAAUGAAUUUGACCUGAUUCAAUAAUGUCUUUCACUCAGUAAUCUGAUCACUUCUGUUCCAGGAGUAGCCUUCCUCAGUCUGCCCUAAUCUAAUGGUACGAAAACAGGCAUGUUUAAUUUUAGCCUAUUGCAAAAGAAGACCCAGGGCAGUAGACUGCAUCUACCUUAUGCUUGUUUUUGGAAGGAAAUUUACACUGGCCACGGUCAAUACUCAGCGUGUGACAAUGGUCACUGUCAAGGCCUGUAGGCCCACGCUGGAGAGAGCCUGGCACCUCACAAUGCAAUCCAAUCACUCCAGCUUGUCACAUAUUCAGAAGUUCAGAAAGCUCAGCAGUGACAGGUUUAUUUUUCAGAAACGCUGAGCUACAAAUUACUAAUAUAUCAGGCAGCCAGAAUCACUGGGCUGACUGCAGGUCUGAUUACCAUGGGUAACUGACACUAAGCCAUUCUGGGAGAUCCUCUCCCUUAAAUAGUUACAUUUCAGUGCUGCUGAAAUUCCGUGACCAAUCAGAUGCAGACAAUAGGUAGGGGCUUCUGAUUAGCACUCUGAUUUCCAGCUGUGCUCGAAGUGACUCAGGAGAUCAGUGGAAAAGUAGUUCAGUCACCCCAAAAUGAUAGGUUCCUACUCCUUGUUCCAUUCUCUAUCCCUGGAAAGCCACCAUGGCCCUUCCAAGGCAUUGAAUGUGGCACACUGAGAAUUACAGCAGCCCAGUGCUUUUCAAAGCACAACUGCCUGGGUCAAACAAAGAAACAAAAAAUAAGACUCUAAGGUCACUGCAUUGCUCCCCAAGUGCCCUUGAGACUGAAUCACCCUGGACUUCAUAUCAGAUUUCUCCCUGUUCUGGGGCCACCAAACAAUUCUGAUGGUGGUGGCUAUCCUUAUCAAAACAGUAAAUGUCAUUCCCCAACUGCUUAAACUAUGCUUUAUUUAUCAGUGAGGUGGUAGCCUACCUCAGGAUCACUUUUAUAGUAAUUUCCAUGGUCUUACUAUUUAAAGGAAUGUUUCCAGAAGUAUCUACAUCUGAAUUCACCUGUCUACUGCUAUUACCUAGCCAGGGAUAGUAAGAAAGACACUUUUGGUUGGAAUUUCUCUGGUGUCACAAAAUACAUAGGCAUUAUGACUUGUUCUGCCUACCUUGUAACUGCAAAAUUCACACAGUAUUUUUCCACACGGAAUACCCUCUUCUAUAAUGACUACUGCCACCCUCUUUAUUUCACUGCUAAGAUUGAUACCUCAAAGAGGUAUAAGCCACCCCCAAAAAGCUUAGAGGUGACAUUGAUCAAUGUGUCAAAGACUACUAUAGGCCCACUGUACCAAAUAAUAUGGCUAAGUCCUGACACCGGACAGGGGUGGUGGUGUGGGGGGUGUCUUUUAGGUGGGAGAGUUUAUGGUUCUCAGUCCUACAUAUCUGAGCCAAAUUAAAAUUUAAACACUUUCUUGGAUCCAUUCAAGUUUUCAAGAUCACAAACCCCAUUGUGUUCUUCCUAUAUUUAUCUGUUAAGACAUAGCUUUAAAACAUUUUUUUUUUCUUUUGAGUCAGAGUCUCACUCUGUCACCCAGGCUGGAGUGCAGUGGCACGAUCUUGGCUCACUGAAACCUCUGACUCCCGGGUUCAAGGGAUUCUUGUGCCUUAGCCUCCCAAGUAGCUGGAAUUACAGGUGCCCGCCAAAAUGCCUAGCUAAUUUUUGUAUUUUUAGGAGAGACGGGGUUUCACCAUGUUGGCCAGGCUGGUCUCGAACUCCUGACCUCAAGUGAUCUGCCUGCCUUGGCCUCCCAAAGUGCUGGGAUUACAGGUGUGAGCCCCCGCAAACAGCCUAUAGUUUUAAAAUUUAAAACUUUAUAGCCAACUCUAAAAUCCUAGCUGGUAAUUCCGAGGAAUUGAUUGAAUGGAAAGUGGGCUUGAUGCAUAGAAGCUGGCUCCUGUAGUUGCCAAAGUAGGUAGAGAACAAACCCAAAACUCAGUAGUAGAAAGCCCAGAAAAGCCCUGACCACCAUCUCUUUCCCUGGUCUCACAGAGGAGGGAGCUUGGAAGAGGGCUGGCUUCUCUCUAUGUGAUCAAGAACAAAUAAAAAUGAGUGGUGGACAAUCACUCUGAUCUUAUUCAUGUCAGGCAUCCAGGACUCCUCUCUUUGGCUUUGUCCUUCUCACAUCCCAUUCCACUUCUAUCUGGCUGCCAACUUUUUGGAAACCAUUUCUCAAUUCUGGUCUAACGUCUUGAACUUGAUACCUUAAUUCAACAAUUUCUACCAUGGUUUUCAAAUGAACUUACCUUGUCUCCAGUGUUAAUAAUUUGAAGCCAAAUACCCUU